GUGUCCGCAGAACCAGAAAAGCCAGGAGUGUGUCCAAAAAAUCCUGAAGUAGCACUUUUAGGGGGGUGUGUUGAGAGGUGUUCUCAUGACAGUGACUGUCCAAAAGAUGAGAAAUGCUGCAGCAAAGGAUGUGGACAACAGUGUAUGCCUCCAUAUAGAGAAAAGCCAGGAGUGUGUCCAAGCAAAAACCUUGGAAUAGGAGUGUGUGCUGAAUUGUGUUCUCAUGACAGUGACUGUCCGAAUGAUGAGAAAUGCUGCCGCAAUGGAUGUGGACAUCAGUGUAUGUCUAUCUAAAGUGUGGGCCUGAUCCAUGUCUCACAUUUGGUCGGCUGAUAUCUCUUCCCAUGAUGAUCGAUGUCCUGCCUGACCGAAGUGUUACCCAACCACCUGUGCCUGCAUGUAUGCAGCGAACCAUGCCAGUUUAACCAUCGGGAAAGGUUUUUUUUGCGUACCAUAUUUGAGGUCCUCUACAUUCACCAAAUAAAUAUCAGUUUAGCAAAAC